rnacentral:tmRNA from 1 species
GGGGGCGCAAUGGUUUCGACGGGGGCAAGUUGCUCCUGGGAAGCGAGUCGAAGGGAUCCUGUACCUGCGUUAAAAAACUGGGAAUUUAAAUAUAAUUGCAAACGAUAAUUUUGCAUUAGCUGCCUAAUAGUUGCAGCUCGUCAGCCUAAGAGUCCCACGACUUAGGGUCUGGCGUCGACAGUGGGGAACCGAGCCUUACAAAGCUUUGAGUAAGGAACGGAAUUAAUGAAGCUACUGAAUCUAAGAGCCUGUUUAUCAGCGCUUAGAGGAGGGAAUGUAAAAGGAUAAACUGCACUCGGAGAUGCCCAGGGGUUGCUGCUUCCGGACAGGGGUUCGAUUCCCCUCGCCUCCACCA